AAAUCCGUCGACUUUAGAAAUCGU
rnacentral:tRNA from 1 species